rnacentral:lncRNA from 1 species
CAAUCUCCUGGAUGUCGUCAAUCUCCCACCUGCUAAGAUGUCCCUCUCUUCCUAGUUGGGCUCUGACUCCCUGUGCUAGGCCAUUCCUCUGCAGGAAAGCCCUCCUCACUCUGCUUGCACUCUGAUUCCUGAUGCUGGUCCCCUAGUCACCACUUAGACCCCCUUAGGUUCUAAUGCUCCACACAAGGUCACCCUAUGGGUGGAAGCCCUCCUCACCCUGGAGGGGUCUGAUUUCCUCACCGGGCUAUCCUACCACAUGGACCACCUCCUUAUCCUGCUAAGUUUCUGAAACCCACACCAAGUCCUCCCUCUGCAUAGAAGCUUUCUUCAUCCUGCUUGGGCUCUGACACUCCAUGCAGGUCCUCCAUCCCCCAGCAAUAAUGUCCAUCUUACCCUACUUAGGAUCUGAGUUCCCUCACUGGGCUACCCCACCACAUGGACACCCUCCUUAUCAUGCUUGGUCUCUGAAACCACACCAGGUCUACCCUCUGCAAGGAUGCUCUCUCUCCUCAUCCUGCUUAAGUGCUGAGUCCCAACCCCAACUGGGCCAACACUAGGCAUGGGUGCCCUCCUCACCUCUCCCACAUGCUGACAUACAUACCAGGCUGGCCCUAGAGUACUCUGCUCAGCCAUUUGCGACUCUGACUCCCUAUAGAAGGUAACCUCAUACAUGGAUGCCCUCCUCACCCUGCUUGCACUCCAACUCACUGCACCUGACUAUCCCACCACAUAGAUGCCUUCUUUACCUCUCAGACUCUGACCUCUCACAUCAGGCUACCCCUACUAUGGACACCCUCCUCAAUCUUAUCCUCUGACACCCUGCACUGGGCCAUUGCCAGGAGUGGACAUCUCCUCGCUCUGGUUCCCCAUGCCAGGACACUUUCCCACCCCUAAGGGAUGUUCUUCUCACUCUGCUUGGGCUCCAGAACCACUGUCAAGCCAAUACCCUG